ensembl:lncRNA
CACCAGGUAAAGGUGUUUGACCAGUUCUUAAAACACAGGAAGCCUGAGCUCUCCAAGCACAUGGAGUCAGUGGGAAUCUUGUCAGUCCACUUUGUGAUGCCGUGGUUCCUGACCCUUUUCACUUCCCUGCCCUGCUGGGACUCUGUUCUGGCUGUCUGGGAUCUCAUCAUUCUACACGGCUUGUCAGCUGUCUUCCGUACCGCUCUGACCAUUGUUGAGCUCUUGGAGCCCCGACUAAUGGACCUGAAGGAUGAAGGAGCAAUAUUACCCCUGCUCUUAAGAGUACCUGUUGAUGUGGCCCAGUAUACUGUGUUGGUUCCUGCCCUGUGGAAUACAGAGGUCCAAGACUGGGAGCUUAAAUGCAUGAACAGCCUGGAGCUGGAUGAAAGCCACAAUGAACCAAAAGCAGAACAAAGUGAAACUCAGGGCACACUGUCUGGUGAAGUCACAGAAGGAAAAGAGAAAGAAAAUGUAUCACCAUCAUCUGUGGGAGAAAAGACCACUGAGAAGGUCACACUUCCAGGUGCUGUAAAUAUACUGACACGGGUGAUGCGCCUGGCUCAACGGCACCUUUUGGACCCAAUGGGGCGACAGCGGGUCGAAAAAAAGAGUUCACAAACACAGGCAGCACCCAGACAGCAGAGUCCUGCAACUGGACGCUUUUGCGGGAGUCGGACUUCGGCUUCAUUAACACAAGCGCAGAUUCGAUCCAGGAGGCGAACGCAGCAGAGAGGCGUCACGAAUCAGCCAGUAGUGGAGGAGAGCAGUGACGAUGUUACUGUGGGAGAUGCAGAAGAUUGCGAAAAAACUGAAGGGUCAGAGCAAACUUUAAAGAGGGCAGGUACAGGACCUGUUUGCAAGGUGGUUCACGGUCGGAGCAAUCACAGCAGAGUCAAGUCUUUCCGUCUUCUUCGAAGCGUCAAGAGCCCAGUUAAGCAGGCCCCUCCCCCCUCUUCCUCCUCUGUUCCCGCUUCAUCCUCCACUCUUCCAUCUACCCAUAGUCCACCUUCUACUCUUCAGCCCUCCAGUGUUCCUAAAAGUGGGGAGCAGAACGACUCGCCCAGGACAGCUCUCAUCAAGGAGUUGUCAUCCAGACAGCAGAACAGCUUCCCGUUCAGGAAGGCCAAAGAGUCUAAGCUGAUCUGACACUGAAGGAAGAAGAAAAGAUGUGAUGGAACAAGGGAGGAAUACAGUGCUUAAACCUUACUAUGUAGUUUGGUUUGGGAUCUGGAAUAGUUGGUAAAGGAUGUGUGAUUAAGUUGCGCCUCAAACACACCCAGAUCAUCUGAGGUCAAUCUGAUUUUAUAGUUUGUGCUGAGCUGUAUAGCCAAUCUCAGAUCAGCCGCAGUGUGAAACCUGCUAACUGUUUUAUGUAGUUUGAUUGUGUAACUGAAAUUUUAUUGUGUGCUUAUUUUCUGUCUACUGGUGCAAUGUAUUUCUUCUAGUUGAAUCAUAAAUGCUUAACACUGACAUUUUAUUCCCUUUAGCAGCUGACACUAAUAAAUUAUAUUGUUUUUGAAAGUGACACGUUAUUUAUUUAGGAGCAUGCCCAAACUGCACUCUGCGUUGGUUGUGCCAGUUUUUCAUCAGACUAUCAAAACCACCGUCUUACUAUGUAAUUAUUUUGAACCAGUAUUGGAACUCUUAUCAGUCACACCCAGAAAGUGUCACCAGUGCUCAGUCUUUGAUGUUUGUGUUCACUGCAUUUAAAUUGAGUGCAAAAAGCUUUGGAAAUUGGGUCAGUUUGACUGGUUAUUGGUGCAGUUGUGCUCCAGGAUAAAAGCGGUGGCUUCUGGUUAAAAUGCUGAAAAUGACCACAUUCUACAGACGAGGACUGUCUUGUUAACAUUAACUGUCAUUCCUCCCUCGGACUCAAAAAUAGCAGGAACAGAAAGAGCAGAAUGUUUUUGUAGCACUGCAAUAAAUAUCAAUAAGUUCAGGGUGUUCAGUGUGUGCCUUCGAUACUGGAGACUGUGGUUUACAUUUAAUAUGACAAAGCUCAAUAUUAGCAUCAUUUAAUCAGACUUUAACGUAAAGAACUGUGGAAAACAAGAAAACACAAGAACUUUGGUUUGGAUUUCAAUGAUUGUGGCUCCCUCGUGAUUUAAAUUUUAACCAGGAAGCUUGUGCGUAAGUCUGACUCGUCCUGGUGCUACUUUACGUUAGUAUGUAACUCUCUGCGUUCCAGCCACUGAAGACAGCAGUCAAAGCUGAGCACUGGAAAUAUUUUGAAGCUUAUGGUUUAACAUCAUUAAUGGUUUACGUAGCCUUCUAGUAGAAGAACAUUUGACUGACAUGGAAUGACUGAAAUAGAUUUUUGGGGAUGACCCUCAGUUAGCAGCUGGUUGUACUGAAGCUAAGCUGGCAGCUUCUAGCUGCAUUGUUAGUUAGCAUGAUCUUAACAUUUGAAACUUGGCAACAUUUCAGGCCAGUAUGUGUAUAUAAUCUGAUCUCUCACCUCCCACAGUUCAAAGUAGAAUAAUGCAAGUUUAUGUGAGUUACAAAAGCAGAAGGGAGUCAACUUGUUGAAUGUCACAGAUGUGUUUGGAAAUGUCUUUAAAAAGGGUUUCCUAAUAAGUAACUUUUCACAAUAUCAUGUCUAUUUCAGAGCAUGCAACUGUUUUAAUUUAAGAUACUGUAGUUAACUCACAUUUGAAGUAAUUAAAUGACGUGACUGGUUUUGGAAGUUAACAUGACUGCAAAGAUUAAAUUUUUAAACUGAUCUACUUUGUUUAAUUUUAAAUUCUGCCUUUUCAUUCAAAUUCAUAUUUUAUUUGUCACACACAACCAUAC